AUUGAACGCUGGCGGCAGGCCUAACACAUGCAAGUCGAGCGGUAGAGAGGUGCUUGCAUCUCUUGAGAGCGGCGGACGGGUGAGUAAUGCCUAGGAAUCUGCCUAGUGGUGGGGGAUAACGUUCGGAAACGGACGCUAAUACCGCAUACGUCCUACGGGAGGAAGCGGGGGAUCUUCGGACCUCGCGCCAUUAGAUGAGCCUAGGUCGGAUUAGCUAGUUGGUGAGGUAAUGGCUCACCAAGGCGACGAUCCGUAACUGGUCUGAGAGGAUGAUCAGUCACACUGGAACUGAGACACGGUCCAGACUCCUACGGGAGGCAGCAGUGGGGAAUAUUGGACAAUGGGCGAAAGCCUGAUCCAGCCAUGCCGCGUGUGUGAAGAAGGUCUUCGGAUUGUAAAGCACUUUAAGUUGGGAGGAAGGGUCGUAACCUAAUACGUUGCGGCUUUGACGUUACCGACAGAAUAAGCACCGGCUAACUUCGUGCCAGCCGCCGCAGUAAUAC
rnacentral:rRNA from 1 species